GCUGGGUGUGGUGGUGCAUGCCUGUAAUCCCAGCUACUUAGGUGACUGAGGCAGUAGGAUCACAAGUUUGAGGUCAGCCUGGGCAAUUUAGAGAGAUCCUGUCUCAA
rnacentral:sRNA from 1 species